rnacentral:lncRNA from 1 species
ACUUGCUGUUGCUGUUAUUUUCUCCAGAGAAUUCUAAGAGAUUACAAAGACCUGAGGAGACUUUUUGAAAAAAUGCGCAUAAACUGAUUGGAUUCAACAAUCUAACUUCCUCUGGGGCUACUGAAAUGUUUCCCAGAGAUUUGCUGAAUUCCUCACUUCACGUCGUGGUGCAGACGGAAACGUUUGACUGUGUCCUGAUGUUAGGGGCGGCCUGCAGAGCCUGUGGACAUGAUUUUGAAGCUUAACCUUUCAUUGGCUUCUGCAUCUGGAGUGUUUCUCUUUUUACAACCUGGAUUUCAUAUCUUCGUCAUGAGUGCUACCAUUUGGCUUUUUAGUUCCUUCUGAAUUCUUGGACACAGCCCUUCUGUCCUCAUGAUUUGUCACUGUGUGUUUCUCUAGAGACUGCCCCACCUCUUCCCUGGAGGCUUCCAGCUCUGUCAUGGCCCUCCAGUGACUUCCUGUUGACAGUGUCCUUGGGAUGGAAUCACUCCAUCAACUCCUCUAAAGGACAGUUUCAAAACCCCAUGGUUCUUCUGCUAAUCUGUAGCAACACUUGGCUACCCAAACGACUGGAGGCAUAAACCGACCUGGAGACUUGGGAAUCGGGACAAUGAGGAGUCUGCCCUGUUGCCUUUGGAAAUCCUCUUCUGAACUUCUGCAUGAGAGAGCAGCGAUAUUUCAUUUCUGGGGGGAACUGAGGUGGGAUCUGGGGACCUAACGUAAAAGCCAAGGUGCCUCGAACAACGUAUGAGGGGGGCACAGGGCUCCACUGUUCAAAAGAAUGCUUAUUUUUUCCACGCAGAGAAAAAGUAUUUAUUGAGCACCUACUGUGUACCCAGCAUUGUGCUUGGUGAUACAGAGGCAUAAUCAAAUUUAAGACCUGGCUUCUGCUAGCUUCAGAGCAGUAUGUUGGAAAGAGAACAGGUUUUGGGAAUGGCAUAGGUAUCAAUUAGAAAAUGAUGCACAUCUGCGCAACCACCAUCGUGGUAACGGAGUGCAGUUGGAGUUUAGAAGAGUGAGAGAGGAAGGUUGGAAUUGUUGGGGAAGUCUUCCUGGGGGAAGUGAGAUUUGAGCGGGUGUCUGAGGAUGGAGGUUGUAGAUGAUGAUGUCUAAAAGCGUUACCUUUAUACACAGGACACCUGGGUGUGAAUCACAUGCCUCAUCCCAGAGACUGUGUCACACUGGGGAAGUCAUCUCGUCCUUCUGAGCUUCAGUUUCCUAAUCUGUAAAAUAGGGAAAAUGCAUCACAGGGUUGUGAAGAUUAAAUAUGAUACCAUGGUAAUUGACUGAGGUGCCCAGCUAUUUCAAUGUGAGAAAAGAAAGGUUUUUUGACCAAUGGUGCUGGAGCCACUGGAUAUCCACAUGGGUGGAAAAAUGGGCCUCGGCCCCUACACCAGUCCACAUACAAAAGUUAAUUUGAGGUAGAUUACAGAUAUAAUAUAUAAAACCAGAGCCAUGACUCUUCUAAAAGAAAGCAGAGGAGAAUAUCUUAGUCAUCUUGGGGUAGACAAAGAUUUCUUUGUCAGGACAUGGAAAGCACUAACCAUAAAAGAUAAAAUCGAUAAAUUGGACUACUUCAGAAUUAAAAACCUCUGCUCAUCAAAAGAUACUGUUAAGAAAAUAAAAAGGCAAGACACAGAUUGGGAGAAAAUAUUUGUAAUACAUAUAGCAGAAAAGGACUUACAGCCAGAAAAUACCAAGAACUCUUACAACUCAACAAGAAGACAAACUCACUGAAAACAUGGACAAAAGAUUUGAACAGAAAACUCACGAAAGAAGAUAUAUGAGUGGACAAUAAAUAUACGAAAAGAUAUUCGAUGUCUUUAUUUAUCAGGAAAA